rnacentral:lncRNA from 1 species
AAUAGAGGUAAGUACUAUUAAUUUCUAAUUGGCCAAUAUUUUGGACAAAUAAGUAAUGUUCUCAUGAAUGGAUGAAAUGAAAAGGGAAAAAAAAGGAAUCAAAAUAUGACAUUCUCUCCCUCUCAAGUUCUGGUUAGCUGAGUAGUAAACAUACCUGUUCUCCUUUCCUAGGUGUAAGCUUCUCAGAGUCACCUACUAUAAACAUGAAGAGCCAAGGAGCUGAAAUCUGAACACAAAUGUGACUCCACUACACUUGACUCUCAUGGCCUUAGGAAACAUCACCUAAGCAAGCUUGGUCUAUUUCCCUCUGUGCCUUCACUUCACAGUCCUACAGAGAGGAUGGCAUGAGCUAAUAUUUGUGAGCGCCCUUUGUACAGUGAAUGUCUAAUGCAAGUUAGCACUUGCUUGUAAAACUCCUCAAGCAAAAGGUUUGGGUUAGAAUCAUGUUUGCACAUCCUUGCACAGGGACCUGAACACGGUCCAGGCUCGCCAAAUGGCAUCUAGGGAAAUUGAUCUGUGCCCGCACUUCCCUCCUGGCCUGUAGCAUUCAGCUCUUAUUCCUUAUGCCUCCAUUAUUCUGUCUCUAGCACUUAUCUUGCUCUUUUCAAAAUGACCUUAGAAACUCAAAUUCAAACUAAAGAGCUUUAAGUUAUGCAGUUUUGUCUCCACCAUCUAAGUAACAAAAGCAUGCUCUUUUCUCAAUUGACCUACCUCUCAGUAACGGCACAAAAACAGGGUGCAUGGACUAGAGCCACAAAGAGAACACUGCAGGUGAAGGACUCCAAAUGGCCAUCCAAGGGUCAAUGUUAAAUGCUUUCCUGUGCUCCAUUGUGUAAUUUUCACAUAAUUUUCAUUUUGCACUUAGUUUCCUUUGCCAUCAGCAAGUUUUCUCCCUCUCCCUUCUGUCUGUCUGGGGAAAUCUUUUAAGCUGCCUGUUUUAAGCAAAAGCCCCAAGGAUGUUGCAUAUUAAGUCAUAUCCUAGACCGCUUGGGGAGAUCAUGAAAGGUUUUGGAGUCAUUACUGCUAACAAUUGACUGCCACACAGUCCUGGUCAUCGGGGAAACAUAGACGGUGCAAUCAGCCUAUGAAGUGAAAGCCAAGCUGACCUGUGUUUAGUACUUUUAACAUAAAGAGACAGAAAAGGAAAUACUAAAGACCGAACUUUCCUUCAACUCUGUGGUCUCACCCAUCCCUCGGUGACUUGGAAAUUUUUCUGACAUGAGACAGUGUGCAGAGACAGCUAGCCACUCCCCUUCCUCCUCCUGACCAUGUGUAAACAGCUGGUGCUGCAAUCCCCUGGCUGGAGGGAAGCGAAUGUAGACUGAUGUUAAACAAACAUAGGCCAAUAUCAGGAACUCAGAAAAUAUUAUAUAUACAAUGUGAUCAAGAGCCCUGCAUGGUUCAUGAUCUUUCAGGUAUUAAGUGUCAAAGGUUGGGGUAUCAGAGCCAAUACGUUUGUAAAGGCUGUAUAUCUUUUUCUUUUUUUCUUUGGGGGGAUUCUUCUGGUUUUUUUGCUAUAGUUUUCUUAGCGUGGCAUCAUAAGAUUGUAUAAAAUCUCAAUUACCAUAAUGCCAUUUUUUCAAUCCAUUUUGGUUGAUUUUAACUCUCAAAUUUAAUUCACCAGCAACAGUCAUGUUAUUAGGGGGAACAUGACAAAUCAAUGAGACAUUAUUUUUCCCUCAGCCCACGUUUGUGACUCAUUGACACUAAUGUGAGGGUGGGGAUGGGACAGUGAGCUCAGCUUGUUAAGGAUACGUUCCUCAAGGCCAGGUGCAUGGCCUUCGAGGCUCUUGGCUAUUUAAUCAAAACCUCAGACACACAAUUAAGAGCUAAAUGUAGUUUGCCUGAUUCAUCAAGUGACAUUUACAAAAUGAAUCUGAGUGGCACCCAUUCACACUGUCCUUGUCUUCCAGGACAGUGUCAGACACUGAGACCGAGGAAGGCAGUCAUCUUCAUCUUGUGAUAUGGUAGCUAUUUGCUCAAUCCAUGGGCAAAAUGGAAUGAGAAUUGUAAAAUGAAACUGAAAAUGAGCCAACAAAGCACACCUGGAAUGAAUUUGAUGGGCUGAUUUCCUUUUUAUCAUUGGUUUUUAACUGCUGAAAGCUCUAGAAUCCAUAGGUCUAAGAAGAAUAGACAUCUAUCUCUACAUCAGGAUUUAUGGCAUUCUAGUCACCCUUAUGGUGUUGGAUAGCUUACUUUUGUCUUCUACACCAGACUGCAUGUUACUUGUGGGCAGAUCUUCUGUCUUAUUUCUCCUUUGAUCCCUGCAUCUUGUACCAUUUCUACAGUGUACUCAGUAACUGUUUCACGUGGGUGAAUAGUGAAUGAAUGAAUCAACACAGCUCCUUGAGCAGUUGAAGCCAUGGGAACUAACUCAGAGUUGUUCUUUCUCUAUUUCUGAGGUCACUUCACACCCCAGAUGAUGAUCUUUCUCCUACAAAUAAGCUUACCAAAAACCUUUAUAAUCAUAUUCAAAAUGGAGUUCAACCUGAAAAUGUAGCCUUAAAUGAUUAUUUCCAUGUAUCUGAG